GAAAUAUUUCACCCAUUUCUUGCACUUCAGGGAAUACGAAUCAUUUAGUUGAAAAACUUUACCAUUUAUGGGGUUAAAAAUACAAAAAUUAAAUCACUAUCAACUUAUCAGGCGGUACGCAAAGAUCCACCAUUACACCUUCUAAAUGCUUCGCGGGGAAAUGUCAACACUUGUUAAUUUUUUUCGUCAUUUUUUUCGUUUAUUAAAUUUUUUGUGAUUUUUCGGAAAUUAUAUUUUCCGAGAUGUUUACUCGGCAAGCGGUUCGACUCACCUACAAUUUCUGAAAUUCCCUCGAAGCUUAAGUCGGAAAUAUAUGCAACAUUUCUUAGACAAAAGAACAUGUAACACUCAUGUGCAUAACAAAUAAUAUAACUAUUUUUUUUGUUAG